CAAAUUGAAAAAUCUUGUUUAGAUAUGUAUAAUUAUUUAUCCAAACGAAAAGACGAAUGUAUAAAUGAUAUUAUGAAUGAUUAUUAUAAGAAAAUGAUUAGAUGUAAAAUAAAAAUUAAUACGUGUCGAAUUAUUAAUAUUAUAGACACCUUUAAAGAGUAUCUUAUUAUAUUACAACAAGCAAUGUAUACGAAAGAAGAGUUAACAAAUAAGAUUUAUUUAAAAAGUCAAAUUGUAUUUAAAGAUUUGUUACCUUCUUUUAAUUUAUUAGAAUUGAUUAUAUGGUAUGAUAAAAAAAAAGAAAAAAUAAAAGAUUUGAAUUAUAAUUGUUUUAUGAGUUUAAAUAUGAUGAUAUCGAAUACUAUUGAUAAAAGUAGUUAUCAUUAUAGAGUAUCAGAAAAAUCAGGUGAUCAUGAUCAAUUACAUAAUGACGGCAUGGAUAAGACAACAACAACAACAACAAGUAAUUCAAAUAUACAUAACACAACAACAUCUAUUCAAGGUUAUAAUUAUUUUUCAAGAUAUUCUUCCUGUUUUGAACGGUUACUAGAUUUUGCAAUUUCUUUAACUACUACAUUUGAAAGUAUAUAUUUUCUUAUUAAUUAUAUUGGAGAUAUUUUAAAAUUAUAUAACCCACAAUUUUAUAAUUCUUUAUAUAUGUUAGUAAUAAUUAAAUUGCAUAAAUUUAUGUAUAAUUUAUUUGAAAUAAAAAAAGUACGUACUUUAUUUAAAAAAAAAAAUAACUUGUUAAAAACUAGAAAAAGUAAUCAAAAAAUUAAAUUAAUUUAUUUGUUAAAUGUUAUACCACUUAUAUAUUUAGAUCCCCAAAUGAAUGUCAUAUUGAUAAACAAAUCUUAUGAGUUUAAAGCUAAUCAUAAUAAAAUUAUUUUUUCCAAAUUAUCACCUUUUUCGUUAGUAGCUGAAGCAGUGAAUAAACGGUUGAGGCAUGUUUAUACAUUUCAAGACUUGGUUGAAAAUUAUGAACAUAACACGGGUAAUAGUUCACCUCCGCUUUCUAAUUCAUCUUCUGGUUCUGAAAUAUCUGAUACAGAGGGCGACGAACAUGGUUCUGGAAGUGUUAAAAGGAAAACGCGCAGUAGUUACGAGUCUGACAAUGGAACUGAAAAUAAAAAUAAAAAAAAAAAAAAAAAUGUUGUUAAAACGAUAGAAGAACAGUUAAAAGAUAAGUUGAACGCGACUAACACAUCCAUAAUUAAUGCACAUGAUAGACAAGCGUUAUACUAUUUAUAUAUGGUUAAUUAUAAUACAACUGAGAAUAAUGGAAGGCAUCAUGAUGGUCCUCCUGGAUUUAGACAACCAAACACACAGGCAAAUAUACAACCGCAACAUGGGUUGGUAGUGCUAAGUCACAAAAACUACUGUGCGUAUAUUGUGUGGGUAGUUAACUUAUUAAUUAAUCAUAAAGUAGAAUAUAAAACGUUAAUAAAUGUAUAUUUAAAAAUUUAUAAUAGUAUUAGUUGUAAAAUGGAUUCAAAUAUAGAAGAAACGGAAAUUGUCAUAAUCAUUUAUUAUUUGUUUACUCUUUGGAUAAAUGGUGAUAAAAAUAGUAAUUCUUUUUUUUUUAAUAAUAAUGAAAAAUCUUAUAAUGAAAGAAAACAUUUAGGUUAUUUUUUGAAAGAUAAAGAUGGUAACUUAGAAUGCAUUAACACUUAUUCAUUAAUAACUAUAUUAA
rnacentral:lncRNA from 1 species